UACAGAGGUCUCAAGCGUUGUUCGGAUUCAUUGGGCGUAAAGGGUGUGUAGGUGGCGCGCUAAGUCGGGUGUGAAAUUUCGGAGCUUAACUCCGAAACUGCAUUCGAUACUGGCGUGCUUGAGGACUGGAGAGGAGACUGGAAUUCAUGGUGUAGCAGUGAAAUGCGCAGAUAUCAGGAGGAACACCCAAUGGCGAAGGCAGCUCGCUGGGACGGUACUGACGCUGAGGCGCGAAAGCCGUGGGGAGCAAACAGG
rnacentral:rRNA from 1 species